AAUAUCUGGCCAAGGAGUCCACGUUGGCACUCUAACCAGACCGAUCUGGAAUCAGAUAUUGCACUUUUUCGCUCCUUUACAUUCCCCCAGAGAACAAAAAAAAAAACAUUUUCCUUUCCUUUCCUCCAAACACAACCCCCAGAAAUAUCUCCGCUUCUUUCUGACUCCGAUCCAAUCCAAUUCUAAUUGAUCAAAUUGGGGACUUUGUAGAGUGUGAAUUAUGGGGGAGGAAGUGAAGAUGGGUGAGUACGAACCGAACGGGGAGGAUACCAACGGAGAUGUAGAGAGAGUUGCAGAGUGGGAGAUUGGCCUACCUACUGCCGACGAUCUCACCCCUUUGUCUCAGCUGUUGAUUCCUCCGGAGCUCGCGUUGGCGUUCAGUAUCUCGCCGGAGCGUCAACGCACGCUUAUCGACGUCAACCGAGCUUCGCAAAAUACUGUCUCGAAUCUCCGUAGCGUUGGCGGUGGGGGACAGUUAAACGCGCUGUCCUCGAAUAACUUUAAGUCUUAUAAUGAAGACCUAGCUCGCGACCCGAUGGUGGUGGAGCUGGAGCCGGAGGAUAACAACAUGGAUCGGGACGGUUCGGUGUCCGAGUCGAGGAAGUUGAGGAAAAUCGAUUCGGAAGAAGCGGAUUCGGCUUUGAGAACGGAAAAUUCCGGCGACGAUCCGUCUGCGAGGACGCCGAAACGGCCACGUCUUGUGUGGACACCGCAGCUGCAUAAGAGAUUCGUGGAUGUGGUGGCUUAUCUUGGAAUAAAAAACGCGGUACCGAAGACCAUCAUGCAGUUAAUGAACGUGGAAGGUUUGACCCGCGAGAAUGUGGCGAGCCAUUUGCAAAAGUAUCGCCUUUAUUUGAAGAGGAUGCAGGGGUUGUCGAGUGAGGGUCCCUCGUCUUCUGAUCAGUUGUUUGCCUCUACGCCCGUGCCGCAGAGCUUGCACGAGAGUGGUAGUGGCGCAGGCGCUGGUGGUGGUGGUAGUGGAGGUAACGGAGCCGCCCACGGGAAUGGCCACUUGGGAAUGCCCAUUCCUGUCCCGUAUCAUCCGGCGGCGGGGCCGAUGAUGCCAAUGCCGAUGUAUGGACACAUGGGCAAUCAUCACCAUCAUCAGGGAUUCGAUGGUAAUAUUCCCUAUAAUAUGUUACAACAGAGGGAUUGGAGUGGGAAUAAUUAUGGUUCGAUCGUGUCUUACCCGCAUCAUCCUCAUCACGUUGCUCCUCCUAAUGAUAAUAUGUGAUAUCAUCAAGGCUUCUUUUUUACCGAGAAAGAGAGCUGACCUGAUUUUCAGAAACCAUGGGAUGCUGCAAAUCAAUUGAUCUCAAUCCUGUUUGAAGUUUGCCUGAUUUUCAAAAAGUUCACUCGCGGGUUCUAAGAUUCUGAAGUAUAAGCAAACGUGUUAUACAUUGAAAUAUGGCUGAGAAUUUGGACAUUUGACAAACACGAGAAGGGCUUUCAGGAAGGCCUACGCGGAGACAAUCCAGAUACAUAUUUCAGAAUCAUGAAUACUUGCAAAGCUUCUCUUGGUUCAUAUCAUAUUCUAGUUAUCUGAGGCAACAAAUCGAUUUGGGGACGUCACUUAUAAUUACUUAAGAUGAUGAAAAUUCAUAGAUUACAUUCUUAACCUGUUCGUUAAUUGAUAAAAUGUUAAAUAAAUUGUAUAACUGGAUAUGUUAAACUUUCUAUUUUAGCAAUAGAGGAAAAGUGAAUAAAGGAGCACUGAACAAAAUUCAGUUA